rnacentral:rRNA from 1 species
AUUGAACGCUGGCGGCAGGCCUAACACAUGCAAGUCGAGCGGGGUUUUCGGACCUAGCGGCGGACGGGUGAGUAAUGCGUAGGAAGCUACCCGAUAGAGGGGGAUACCAGUUGGAAACGACUGUUAAUACCGCAUAAUGUCUACGGACCAAAGUGUGGGACCUUCGGGCCACAUGCUAUCGGAUGCGCCUACGUGGGAUUAGCUAGUUGGUGGGGUAAUGGCUCACCAAGGCGACGAUCCCUAGCUGGUUUGAGAGGAUGAUCAGCCACACUGGAACUGAGACACGGUCCAGACUCCUACGGGAGGCAGCAGUGGGGAAUAUUGGACAAUGGGCGCAAGCCUGAUUCAGCCAUGCCGCGUGUGUGAAGAAGGCCUUCGGGUUGUAAAGCACUUUCAGUAGGAAGGAAGGGUGUUGUGUUAAUAGCACAGCAUUUUGACGUUACCUACAGAAGAAGCACCGGCUAACUCUGUGCCAGCCGCCGCUGUAAAAC